rnacentral:rRNA from 1 species
GAUUAACGCUGGCGGCGUGCAUAACACAUGCAAGUCGAACGAUGAAACUUAACUGAUUUCUUCGGAAUGAUUUUAAGUGGAUUAGUGGCGGACGGGUGAGUAACGCGUGAGUAACCUGCCUUGGAGAAGGGGAUAGCCUUUGGAAACGAAGAAUAAUACCCUAUGAUAUGAUAAUAUCUCAUGAUAUUAUCAUCAAAGAUUUAUCGCUCUAAGAUGGACUUGCGUCUGAUUAGUUAGUUGGUGAGGUAACAGCUCACCAAGGCAGCGAUCAGUAGCCGGCUUGAGAGAGUGUACGGCCACAUUGGGACUGAGACACGGCCCAGACUCCUACGGGAGGCAGCAGUGGGGAAUUUGGCACAAUGGGGGAAACCCUGAUGCAGCGACGCCGCGUGAUUUAGAAGGCCUUCGGGUUGUAAAAAUCUUUUGUAUGGGAAGAAAAUGACAGUACCAGACGAAUAAGGACCGGCUAAUUACGUG